rnacentral:rRNA from 1 species
AUUGAACGCUGGCGGCAGGCCUAACACAUGCAAGUCGAACGGUAACAGGAAGCAGCUUGCUGCUUUGCUGACGAGUGGCGGACGGGUGAGUAAUGUCUGGGAAACUGCCUGAUGGAGGGGGAUAACUACUGGAAACGGUAGCUAAUACCGCAUAACGUCGCAAGACCAAAGAGGGGGACCUUCGGGCCUCUUGCCAUCGGAUGUGCCCAGAUGGGAUUAGCUAGUAGGUGGGGUAACGGCUCACCUAGGCGACGAUCCCUAGCUGGUCUGAGAGGAUGACCAGCCACACUGGAACUGAGACACGGUCCAGACUCCUACGGGAGGCAGCAGUGGGGAAUAUUGCACAAUGGGCGCAAGCCUGAUGCAGCCAUGCCGCGUGUAUGAAGAAGGCCUUCGGGUUGUAAAGUACUUUCAGCGGGGAGGAAGGGAGUAAAGUUAAUACCUUUGCU